UACGUAGGGGGCAAGCGUUGGCCGGAAUCAUUGGGCGUAAAGCGCGUGUAGGCGGUUCGGUAAGUCGGGUGGGAAAGUCCAGGGCUCAACCCUGGGAUGCCGGUCGAUACUGCCGGACUAGAGUUCGGAAGAGGCGAGUGGAAUUCCCGGUGUAGCGGUGAAAUGCGCAGAUAUCGGGAGGAACACCAAUGGCGAAGGCAGCUCGCUGGGACGUUACUGACGCUGAGACGCGAAAGCGUGGGGAGCAAACAGG
rnacentral:rRNA from 1 species